GAUGAACGCUGGCGGCGUGCCUAAUACAUGCAAGUCGAGCGAACAGACGAGGAGCUUGCUCCUCUGACGUUAGCGGCGGACGGGUGAGUAACACGUGGAUAACCUACCUAUAAGACUGGGAUAACUUCGGGAAACCGGAGCUAAUACCGGAUAAUAUAUUGAACCGCAUGGUUCAAUAGUGAAAGACGGUUUUGCUGUCACUUAUAGAUGGAUCCGCGCCGCAUUAGCUAGUUGGUAAGGUAACGGCUUACCAAGGCAACGAUGCGUAGCCGACCUGAGAGGGUGAUCGGCCACACUGGAACGGAGGCACGGUCCAGACUCCUACGGGAGGCAGCAGUAGGGAAUCUUCCGCAAUGGGCGAAAGCCUGACGGAGCAACGCCGCGUGAGUGAUGAAGGUCUUCGGAUCGUAAAACUCUGUUAUUAGGGAAGAACAAAUGUGUAAGUAACUAUGCACGUCUUGACGGUACCUAAUCAGAAAGCCACGGCUAACUACGUG
rnacentral:rRNA from 1 species